GACGAACCGAGCGAACGUUGUUCGGAAUCACUGGGCUUAAAGGGCGCGUAGGCGGGCGGCUAAGUCUGUGGUGAAAUCCUCCAGCUCAACUGGAGAACUGCCAUGGAUACUGGUCGUCUCGAGGAACGUAGGGGUAUGCGGAACUAUCGGUGGAGCGGUGAAAUGCGUUGAUAUCGAUAGGAACUCCGGUGGCGAAGGCGGCAUACUGGACGUUUUCUGACGCUGAGGCGCGAAAGCCAGGGGAGCAAACGGG
rnacentral:rRNA from 1 species